UACAGAGGGUGCAAGCGUUAAUCGGACUUACUGGGCGUAAAGGGUGCGUAGGCGGGAGAUUAAGUUAGUUGUGAAAGGCCUGGGCUUAACCUAGGAACUGCAAUUAAGACUGGUUUUCUAGAGUUGAGAAGAGGGGAGCGGAAUUUCCGGUGUAGCGGUGAAAUGCGUAGAUAUCGGAAGGAACACCAGUAGCGAAGGCGGCUCUCUGGACUCAAACUGACGCUGAGGCACGAAAGCGUGGGUAGCGAACAGGAUUAGAUACCCUGGUAGUCCACGCUGUAAACGAUGAGUACUAGCUGUUGCUGUCGAGAGAUGGCAGUAGCGAAGCAAACGCGGUAAGUACUCCGCCUGGGGAUUACGGCCGCAAGGCUAAA
rnacentral:rRNA from 1 species